GUUUUGCAAUUCUGGAACUAUUCCUCAGCACCUAAGCCAUGCAAGUGCCCCAUGUGUGCUUGCAAGAUUAUUAAUUUGAUGCCAGAGGCAUCGUUGCAACAACAACAGGACCAGGAAGUUACUCAGGUGCUUAAAAGUGUACAGAGGUAUAAGCUUCUCUUUGUAGGUGGUGCACGCGGAUUUAUUCAGAAAGUGUGUCUGUUACCAUUCUUCAUGAAGAGACUGUUCCUGGGGUUGAUGGAUCCUGAUCUUAACAUUACAUAUAUUGCUGAGAUAAGCCGUUUGCAGUUAAGCUGAUUCAAUACUUAGCAGAAAUUUAUUUUUCUUCUAUAUCGCUCAGAAGUAGCUUUAUUUGAAAUGGCAUCAUUAACUUACCGUGUGUAUUUAUGUUGAUGUCUUCGUAACUCUUAACUGAUGUUAAAUCUAUACUAUCUAUGGUGUUUACGGAUGGUGCUAAGUAUCAUCUACAGAGCUACACCGUUUGAUUUUCUUCCAACAGGUGGUGUUGGAAUCGGAAGAGUGUUUGAUUUCUCCGCCAUUACUUUGGUACUCAUCUUGCGUUUGGUAGGCAUCUAUCGCAAAAGACGACUUACGCAGCAUGUGAGGCAGGUAGCAGCCAUGAAACUUUUACAGGAAGGAAAUGAAUUUAUAUGGUUAGCAAAACAUGUUUACGUCAUUCCCGUUGCCUUAAACUGAAAAUAGCUGUAAAUGUGAAUCAUGUGUGAAGAAAGUUACAGUAGGUUUUGUAAAUAGAGAAUUAAUCAAAAAAGAGAAGGGAUGUGG